GCCUCACUGGCUUAGUGGCAAGGGGUCUGUCUCGUAAACAGAAGGUCGCUGGUUCGAUUCCAGCAUGGGGCA
rnacentral:tRNA from 1 species